CUUCUCCACAAAAAUCACUGGGAGUCACGCUAAUCGCCUCUCCAGCUUCAUCUCAGGGACCACAGUCAACGCCAAUUCCAAGACGCCUUAUUCCUACUAGGAAACCACUUUACAAUCAGUCCUACAUGUUUUAUUAAAAUUGAAUUCACAGAGGCAUAACGAGUCCAUGAUCUCCAGGACCUAACGAGUGAAAGGCUCAACACAAGAUGGAGGAAUGAAAACGAACGUAGCAGGUCGUAGAAGCCUCAAAUGAACAAACCGAAGUGUAUAGAAAAAAUAACAACUGAUAAAGAUCCCAAGGAAGAGAAAGAAGAUGAUUCUGUCCUCCCUCAGGAAGUUUCCAUUACUGCAACUAGACCUAGCCGGAGCUGGCGCAGUAGUAGCAGGACCUCUAUCUCUCGCCUUCGAGACAGUGAGAAUACUCGGAGCUCUAGGUCCAAGACUGGCUCGUUGCAACUCGUCUGCAAGACAGAACCAAUUACAGAUCAACUUGAUUAUGACGUUCCAGAAGAACAUCAGUCUCCCAGUGGCAUUAGUAGUGAUGAGGAAGAGGAGGAGGAAGAAAUGUUAAUCAGUGAAGAGGAAAUACCAUUCAAAGAUGACCCAAGAGAUGAGACUUACAAGCCCCACCUUGAAAGGGAGACCCCAAAGCCACGGAGAAAAUCAGGGAAGGUGAAAGAAGAGAAAGAAAAAAAAGAAAUUAAAGUGGAAGUAGAAGUAGAGGUGAAAGAAGAA
rnacentral:lncRNA from 1 species